rnacentral:rRNA from 1 species
CAACAGGGAUUGCCUUAGUAACGGCGAGUGAAGCGGCAACAGCUCAAAUUUGAAAUCUGGCCCUUGGGUCCGAAUUGUAAUUUGUAGAGGAUGAUUUUGGUGCGGUAUCUUCCGAGUUCCUUGGAACAGGACGCCUUAGAGGGUGAGAGCCCCGUACGGUUGAAUGCCUAGCCUCUGUAAAUCUCCUUCGACGAGUCGAGUAGUUUGGGAAUGCUGCUCUAAAUGGGAGGUAAAUUUCUUCUAAAGCUAAAUAUUGGCCAGAGACCGAUAGCGCACAAGUAGAGUGAUCGAAAGAUGAAAAGCACUUUGAAAAGAGGGUUAAAUAGCACGUGAAAUUGUUGAAAGGGAAGGAUUUGUGACCAGACUUUUUCUGGGCGGAUCAUCCGGGGUUCUCUCCGGUGCACUUCGCCCAGUAAAGGCCAGCAUCGGUUUUCGGCGUGGGAUAAAAGCAGUAGGAAUGUGGCUCUCUACGGGGAGUGUUAUAGCCUAUUGUAUAAUACCCGCUGGGGACCGAGGUUCGCGCUUCUGCAAGGAUGCUGGCGUAAUGGUUAUCAAUCACCCGUCUUGAAACACGGACCAAGGAGUCGAACAUUUGUGCGAGUGUUUGGGUGUUAAACCCUCACGCGUAAUGAAAGUGAACGGAGGUGAGAGCCCUUACGGGUGCAUCAUCGACCGAUCCUGAAGUUUUCGGAUGGAUUUGAGUAAGAGCAUAACUGUUCGGACCCGAAAGAUGGUGAACUAUGCGUGGAUAGGGUGAAGCCAGAGGAAACUCUGGUGGAGGCUCGCAGCGGUUCUGACGUGCAAAUCGAUCGUCAAAUCUGCGCCAUGGGGGCGAAAGACUAAUC